rnacentral:rRNA from 1 species
GAUGAACGCUGGCGGCGUGCCUAAUACAUGCAAGUCGAGCGAACGGACGAGAAGCUUGCUUCUCUGAUGUUAGCGGCGGACGGGUGAGUAACACGUGGAUAACCUACCUAUAAGACUGGGAUAACUUCGGGAAACCGUAGCUAAUACCGGAUAAUAUUUUGAACCGCAUGGUUCAAAAGUGAAAGACGGUCUUGCUGUCACUUAUAGAUGGAUCCGCGCUGCAUUAGCUAGUUGGUAAGGUAACGGCUUACCAAGGCAACGAUGCAUAGCCGACCUGAGAGGGUGAUCGGCCACCUUGGAGCUGAGACACGGUCCAGACGCCUACGGGAGGCAGCAGUAGGGAAUCUUCCGCAAUGGGCGAAAGCCUGACGGAGCAACGCCGCGUGAGUGAUGAAGGUCUUCGGAUCGUAAAACUCUGUUAUUAGGGAAGAACAUAUGUGUAAGUAACUGUGCACAUCUUGACGGUACCUAAUCAGAAAGCCACGGCUAACUACGUG